ACCCACAUUUGUAACAAAAAGUUUAGAAAAAUAACAAAAAUAAUGCAAAGUAAAUUUUCACUCAAAAUGUUUAACGCAAAUGAAAGAAAUUUUAAUUAAAUCGGAGACAGAUAGUUUCUAGUAGUUGUGUGGAUAUCUAAAUUUUUAAUCAAAAAGCAAAGCUUUUAAUUAACUUGAAAUGCUUGAAGCGUGGCAGCGUGCAGUCAAAUCGGAAACCAAUAUACACCCAUUUACAUGGUUUGAAUGAGUGCGUGCUUUAAGCAAUUUCUGCAAUGCGAUCUACAAGUAUUUAGAUUCUCCAGAAAUAACACUGGUGACUACUCGUGGUUAAAUAGUGAAUAGUGCUUAAUAUUGAAUAUAACGGAUGAUCCAAGACUUACGCCUAAACAAUGUUUACAAAUCGUUCAACUUUAUUACGAAAAUUCAAGUUCUAUCAAGAAUGUGUUUCGCGCACUUCACUCA